rnacentral:rRNA from 1 species
GACGAACGCUGGCGGCGUGCCUAAUACAUGCAAGUAGAACGCUGAAGAGAGGAGCUUGCUCUUCUUGGAUGAGUUGCGAACGGGUGAGUAACGCGUAGGUAACCUGCCUUGUAGCGGGGGAUAACUAUUGGAAACGAUAGCUAAUACCGCAUAACAAUGGAUGACACAUGUCAUUUAUUUGAAAGGGGCAAUUGCUCCACUACAAGAUGGACCUGCGUUGUAUUAGCUAGUAGGUGAGGUAAUGGCACACCUAGGCGACGGUACAUAGCCGACCUGGGAGGGGGAACCGCCCAAACGGGAACGGGAACACGCCCAGACCCCCAAGGGGGGCAGCAGGAGGGGAACUUCGGCCAUGGGGGGAAACCCUGACGAGCAAAGCCGGCGGGGGGAAGGAGGGUCUCGGAUUGUAAAGGCCCGUUGUAAGUGAAGAACGGGUGUGAGAGUGGAAAGUUCACACUGUGACGGUAGCUGACCAGAAAGGGACGGCUAACUACGUG